rnacentral:rRNA from 1 species
AUUGAACGCUGGCGGCAGGCCUAACACAUGCAAGUCGAGCGAGCGGCGGACGGGUGAGUAAUGUAUGUGGAUCUGCCCGAUAGAGGGGGAUAACUACUGGAAACGGUGGCUAAUACCGCAUACUAUCGGAUGAAUCCAUAUGGGAUGAGCUAGUAGGUGGGGUAAAGGCUCACCUAGGCGACGAUCUCUAGCUGGUCUGAUAGGAUGAGCAGCCACACUGGAACUGAGACACGGUCCAGACUCCUACGGGAGGCAGCAGUGGGGAAUAUUGCACAAUGGGCGCAAGCCUGAUGCAGCCAUGCCGCGUGUGUGAAGAAGGCCUUAGGGUUGUAAAGUACUUUCAGCGGGGAGGCGUUACCCGCAGAAGAAGCACCGGCUAACUCCGGGCCAGCAGCCGCGGUAAUUC